rnacentral:lncRNA from 1 species
GGCCUGUGGCCUCCUCCAGCCCACCCCAGUAUGGAGUGAUAGGGAGGGAAGGGCAAGGGGAGCCCACCUACUCAAGGAAGCGCCCUCUCCUUCGAGGGGUGUCCAGGCCGAGGGGUGUCCAGGCCGGGCUUCUGCUCCCGAGGUGGGUGGAGGCAGGGCAGGAACGGCACAUUCUCCCAGCAACGCCGACGUCAUCCAAGAAUUAACCCAAGCCAGAGGACGGGCAUCGCCACCCAGCAACGCCAGUGUCACCGAAGAAUUAACCCAAGCCAGAGGACGGGCAUCGCCAUGCCUUCAUCUUCGGACACUCUCAAAAAAGAUAAGCUUCUGCCCAGAAACACCACAGGUUCAAGCUCAUCACUCAGGGAGCCUGCUGCCAAUCAGCUGAAACCUGCCUGGGGAACAGGGACUUGACCAUGGGGCAAAACAGAAGAAGCAGAAACCUGCCCAAAGGUCGCUCAAAGGCUUCCUCUAGGCCAGACGCUGGUAAGAGCCAGGCGCCGUGCUCCCAGGUGAGUGUCGGUGGGACCUGCGUACUGCCCACGCGGCACCGAAGCCCCUGCCUGCUCUCUGUGAAGGGUUCAGAAGUAUCUGUGGCUGCCAAAGCCUGAAGAGGGCCUCAGGCCUCCCAUUUGCAGGUCCCCAAACCAAGCCAGAAAACAAGACUCCCUUGUCAUGGGCUGGGGGCGCUGCCCUGUCCGCAGACCACGUAUGUCUAGAAUUCCCGUGCUGGGACAUGGUUCAGACACAAGGACAACUGUGUCCCCUGCCAUGACGGCAGUGCCCCUGGUGGUGGAGGGGCUGGGCACAUGCUCUGGUCACAUGCUCUGGUCCCCCUCCAGGCAAUGGCAAGAGUGACCCCACAGGAAGGAAGAACCCUCCUUGGAUGGGAGUGUGGACGGAAGGGCUGUUGCCACUACUCCCCAGGCUGGCCGGCCACACGGACACGUGUGGGAUGUGUCUGGGACAUGCCUGGGAUGUGUGCACAGGCCUCCUGGGAUGGUCACAGCUCAUUGUGGAGGGGCUGGCACUGGGGAGAGAGCUUCUCCUCCAGGACGCCGUCGGGGGCGCACACCCAGGGGUCGUGGGUCUCCCACUGCCACUUGGCCAGCUGGUCCCGAAGCAUCUCCAGAAGCUGAGCAAAGCGCGGGUCGGUGGCCAGGUUCUGGGUCUCGUGGGGGUCCCGGCUCCGGUCGUAGAGCUCCCAGCGCGCCCGGUAGUAGUAAUGACGGAGGUCCUUGUACCAGCCCGUGGGCUGACCAGCUGUGGUGCGGUUCAGGAGGUCCUGGAAGGUGGGUGAGACGUAGAAGUCCUGGUCGAUGGGAAAGGGCAUCUUGAAGUUGAGGUUGUGCACGAGGCGGAAGUGCCGGUGCUGCACGGAGCGCAUGGGGUAGGACAUGGUGACCUCGUGGUGGCUCUGGCUGCCAAAGACGGUGGCCCAGAGGGGCUCGGCCUCCAGCGCCGGCAGGAGGGACCGGCCAGUGAGGUGGAUGGUCUUCGAGCCAAAGAUGGCGUAGCUGGGGUACGGGAUCGAGAACCAAUCCAAGAUGGUGGGCGUGAGGUCUGGAAGGGACGCGGCAUCUCAGAGCAGCAGAGCCCUCAGCACACAGGAGCUGCCCUCGGAAGGGCCGAACCUACGCCACUCUGGGCGGCUCCCUUCUCCAAUCCAAUCAGCAGCGGGAGGUGCCUUGUCGAGCCGACACCUCUCACCGCCACGUCAUCUCUCUGGGCCUCAGUGCCUUGAAUGGUAUAACAAGAGGCCCUGAUUCGGUGACAUUUAGGAUCCUUCUAAAAUCCCAUGGACUGGAAAAGAAGUCUCCUUUUUGGUAGCUCGUGUACUCCAGCCCCUGUGGUGGGUGUGGCCACAGUGCUCCUGGCUCAUCAUUUGGGGCCAGAGAGAGAUGUGGGCCCCAAGAGAGAUGUGGGCCGCGAGCUCGGAGGGAAAGGGAACCUGAGUUUCCUGCUGUCCCGGGCCCACCCCACCUGGAGGCUCUGCCAGGCAGUGGGCAGGACACACGAGCCUCUGCCCUGUGCCGAAGGGGUCACCCCGAGCCCCUCACAAAGUCUUCCUGCACCCGUGUCUUUGUCUGCACAUCCAUAACAUGGGACUAGAUGUCCUAGGUCUUUUUAGGAAUGAGCAGGGUCAUGAGGUGCUUUGGGUCCCCCAGGAAGGCAGGAUGGGGUGCACGGAUGCUCAGAGAGGGGUCCCCAGGCCCACAGUAUCGGCAUCACCUGGGAACUUGUCAGACAUGCAAAUUCUUGAGCCCGCCAAGAUCUACUGAAUCGGACACCCUGGGAUUUGCAAUUUGGAUAUUAACAAGCAUCCCAGGUGAUUCUGAAGCUCAUCGGAGGUAGGCGGGGAAAAGGCAAUGGUUUUGAAAGCAGCAGGAUCCAGGCGAGAAUCCUAGCUUAGUGCUUACCAGCUGUGCAAUCCUGAGCAGCUUACUUCACCUCUCUGAGCCUCAUUCUUUUCCUCUGUAGAGUGGGAGUGACAGUCCCUUCCUCACCCAGAUGAUAUGAGAGCCACAUUAGGUAAUGGGUGUGGAGCAGCAUCUGACAGGUCAUGGCCCCGUCCCAGAUCCACUCCCACACCUUUCCUGACGGAGACAGACAAAGGCAUACCUAGGAGGCUCACGUAGGCCUCGCUGACUUGGCCCCAGCGUUUUGGGUGCUCCGGGGAUGACACCAGUAAGGGUUCAGCAGUGCCCGGCCAGUACAGGUUGGUCCUGCCGCUGGGGAAGGGGAUCCCGUUGUCGGACGUGAAGAUCACCAGUGUGUCGUUCAGGACACCGGCGUCACGCAGCUCCUGGAGCACCAGUCCAACUCCUGUGGUGAGGGGCCGAGAAGCAGAGCUCAGCCGCAGACACGGAGGGAGGCAGCGGGUGGUGUGUGUAGACCCACCUGCUGCUGCAUCCGGCCGCUGGGCUCCAGCGCUUUCCGGAUUCGAAAGCACCCUGUAGUUCUUCCCAAUGGCCCUGGCUCUUGCCCAGC